rnacentral:tRNA from 1 species
AGGCUUGUAGCUCAGGUGGUUAGAGCGCACCCCUGAUAAGGGUGAGGUCGGCGGUUCAAGUCCACUCAGGCCUACCA